rnacentral:rRNA from 1 species
UACAGGGGGGGCAAGCGUUGUUCGGAAUUACUGGGCGUAAAGGGCUCGUAGGUGGCCAACUAAGUCAGACGUGAAAUCCCUCAGCUUAACUGGGGAACUGCGUCUGAUACUGGAUGGCUUGAGUUUGGGAGAGGGAUGCGGAAUUCCAGGUGUAGCGGUGAAAUGCGUAGAUAUCUGGAGGAACACCGGUGGCGAAGGCGGCAUCCUGGACCAAUACUGACACUGAGGAGCGAAAGCCAGGGGAGCAAACAGG